CAGGGAAUCUUGCACAAUGGACGAAAGUCUGAUGCAGCGAUGCCGCGUGGGGGAUGAAGGCCCUAGGGUCGUAAACCCCUUUCAGGGGGGACGAAAAUGACGGUACCCACAGAAGAAGGUCCGGCCAACUACGUGCCAGCAGCCGCGGUAAGACGUAGGGACCGACCGUUGUCCGGAAUUAUUGGGCGUAUAGAGCUCGUAGGCGGUUGCGUAAGUCGGAUGUGAAAGCUCAGGGCUCAACCCUGAGACGCCAUCCGAUACUGCGCUGACUUGAAUCCAGUAGGUGAUUGUGGAAUUCCUGGUGUAGCGGUGAAAUGCGCAGAUAUCAGGAGGAACACCUAUGGCGAAGGCAGCACUCUGGGCUGGUAUUGACGCUGAGGAGCGAAAGCAUGGGUAGCAAACAGGAUUAGAUACCCCUGUAGUCC
rnacentral:rRNA from 1 species